rnacentral:rRNA from 1 species
CAUGCAAGUCGAACGAGGAUAUAUCCUUCGGGGUAUAAGCCGAGUGGCGCAAGGGUGAGUAAUGCAUAGAUUACCUGCCUCUAGGAUAAGGACAACUUUGUGAAAACGAAGCUAAUACUUAAUAAUACAAAAGAAAAUAAUUUUCUUUUGUCAAUGGGAGGGUAGCAAUACCUUUUGCCUAGAGAGGGGUUUAUGUCCUAUCAGCUUGUUGGUGGGGUAAUGGCCUACCAAGGCGAAGACGGGUAGCCGGUCUUAGAGGAUGGUCGGCCACACUGGGACUGAGACACUGCCCAGACUUCUACGGAAGGCUGCAGUCGAGAAUCUUUCGCAAUGCCCGAAAGGGUGACGAAGCGACGCCGCGUGAGUGAGGAAGGCCUUAGGGUUGUAAAGCUCUGUCAGGAGUUAAGAAAUAUAAGUGUGUUAAUACCACAUUUAUUUGACGAAGGCUCCAAAGGAAGCCACGGCUAACUCUGUGCCAGCAGCCGCGGUAAUACAGAGGUGGCAAGCGUUGUUCGGAAUUAUUGGGCGUAAAGAGCACGUAGGUGGGUUUGUAAGUCAGAUGUGAAAGCCUUCUGUUCAACGGAAGAAUUGCAUCUGAAACUGCAAAUCUUGAGUGUAGGAGGGGAGAAUGGAACUUCUGGUGGAGCGGUGAAGUGCGUAGAUAUCAGAAGGAACGCCGGCGGCGAAAGCGAUUCUCUGGCCUAUUACUGACACUCAGUGUGCGAAAGCUAGGGGAGCAAACGGGAUUAGAUACCCCGGUAGUCCUAGCCGUAAACGAUGGGCACUAAGUAGAGGGAAUUACCGAUGUUCUCUCUGCCGUAGCUAACGCAUUAAGUGCCCCGCCUGGGGAGUACGGCCGCAAGGCUAAAACUCAAAAGAAUUGACGGGGGCUCGCACAAGCGGUGGAGCAUGUGGCUUAAUUCGAUGCAACGCGAAAAACCUUACCGGGGCUUGACAUGGUAGAAGUAGGAACCCGAAAGGGUAACGAACGGUAUCCAGUCCGUAGCUAUCACAGGUGUUGCAUGGCUGUCGUCAGCUCGUGUCGUGAGACGUUGGGUUAAGUCCCCUAACGAGCGAAACCCUUGUUUUUAGUUACCAGCGGGUUAUGCCGGGUACUCUAGAAAGACUGCCGUCGUCAAGACGGAGGAAGGUGGGGAUGACGUCAAGUCAUCAUGGCCCUUAUGCCCCGGGCUGCACACGUGCUACAAUGGUCGGUACAAACGGAAGCGAAGCCGAGAGGUGAAGCGAAUCCUAAAAAGCCGAUCUCAGUUCGGAUUGGAGGCUGAAAUUCGCCUCCAUGAAGUUGGAAUCGCUAGUAAUCGCGGAUCAGCAAUGCCGCGGUGAAUAUGUUCCCGAGCCUUGUACACACCGCCCGUCAAGCCACCCAAGCAGGAUGCACCCGAAAACAUUAUAUCUAACCAGGGCAACUUGGAGGAAAGUGUUGAAGGAGUGUUUUGUGAGGAGGACUAAGUCGUAACAAGGUAGUCGUAGGAGAACCUGCGGCUGGAUCACCUCCUUUCU